UACGUAGGGUGCCAGCGUUGUCCGGAAUUAUUGGGCGUAAAGAGCUCGUAGGCGGUUUGUCGCGUCUGCUGUGAAAACCCAGGGCUUAACCCUGGGCCUGCAGUGGGUACGGGCACACUAGAGUGCGGUAGGGGAGAUCGGAAUUCCUGGUGUAGCGGUGAAAUGCGCAGAUAUCAGGAGGCACACCGGUGGCGAAGGCGGAUCUCUGGGCCGUAACUGACGCUGAGGAGCGAAAGCAUGGGUAGCGAACAGG
rnacentral:rRNA from 1 species